AUCCUUGCGCUGAGGCAAUAUCAUAGCUUAUGAAGUUUAUCUGAGGCGUGAUCAUUGCUAGUUGAAAACUUUACCCAAUACCCCGUCUAGAUGACUUGAAAAAUAGUCAGCUAUGGCAAUUUUUGGUGGUCUCUGAGGAGA